GCCUGACUUCUGUGCAGCAAACAGAUGUUCUAACAGCUGUAGCACCAAAACAAGACCCUGUGGAUCAACUUUCACCUCAGGUAGAAACAAGAAGCACAACCACAUGUAGAAGAGUUGAAGACGACCUGCAGAUGAACCUCGGUCUGAUGCUUUUUCCAAAGCAACAGGGGGCCACUGGAGAGAGGUGAAAGGAGUCCUCUGAUCACCCGUACACACUGCCUGCUGUCUCAAGGCUUCACACACUAAACUGAAGGAGCCACAGCCUGAGAGAGGAAACUGCAGCUGGAGAAGUCUAAUGGCUUGACAAGAGGGCCAAGAAAAACUGUAAUAUGUGUAAAGAGGACUAGACUCAGGUAUAUAUUUAAUAUAAAUAAUAAAACAAAUCAGUUGUGCUACAUUUACUCAAA